UACAGAGGUCUCAAGCGUUGUUCGGAUUCAUUGGGCGUAAAGGGUGUGUAGGUGGCGCGCUAAGUCGGGUGUGAAAUUUCGGAGCUUAACUCCGAAACUGCAUUCGAUACUGCCGUGCUUGAGGACUGGAGAGGAGACUGGAAUUUACGGUGUAGCGGUGAAAUGCGUAGAUAUCGUAAGGAAGACCAGUGGCGAAGGCGGGUCUCUGGACAGUUCCUGACGCUGAGGCACGAAGGCCAGGGGAACAAACGGG
rnacentral:rRNA from 1 species